rnacentral:lncRNA from 1 species
UGGACUCAUUCUUAAAAGUUAUUAAAGGGUCCAUGUUUUCUAUGAUUGACACUUCAUACAGCCUGUGGGCGUACAAAGGUUGUGUAGUUCACCCGGGGAUACGAAGUUUGAGCAGAGUGUCAUCACAGUGACUAUCCUGCUGAAUGUGUACAACGCUACUGCGCAGGUGGUGGUUCCUGGAAGUGGAGAAAAAUCCUGGAAAUACAAAGAGCAAUUCGGCUUCAAAUUCGUAUAAUGACGGAAGGCGGAGCAGAGUUGCCCGUCGUAUAUACAGUCUAUGGGUGAGCACGACCAUCUCUGGUAUUGUCCAAAGCAAGGUUUUCGACACGGUUUUGUAUUGAAUGACACUGGGUAAGAUUGUAAGUUAAAAACAACACUGACAAAAAAAAAACUAGGAAAUUACGAGUUCUUCUCUGCACCACAAAUUCAAAGUCUUUAACAGGAGCGUUGACUUGGUUGAUCUGCAGCCAAUCGCCAAACUCAGCAAGCUAACACUGCAGCACAAUACACACCAGCAAAAGCACGGGUAAGUGAGACUGUGAGCAAAGAAAGUGAACCUCAUCAACAGAAACUCAUUUUCACUCCUGCUUUUACGUUUUCUCGACUUUGAGAAUAAAAAGUUCACGCUGCAUUGUGUGAAAAAAUGUAAAAUGUUUCCCAUAGAACAUAAAAAUCAUCUUCAUAUCUACAUUUUAAAUAGUCCUAAUUAUGAUCUCUUGCUUUCUAACGCUCAUCCCCUCAGUUUCUCGCACAAUUCACCCUCAUUAAAAUGAAACGCUUGGAGAAACUAUGACGUCUGAGUCUGCAUUGACUAUGCUAUAUUUAAGCAGUCCAUAUUAUACAAUAAACCUAUAUAAAGAAGACUGACAGUCAGAACGUGGCCUAGAAAUGCAAAGGAUGAAGCAGCUCAGAAAUGCAUUUGAUGCGCUACAUGCUCCAUGAUCAUCCCAUCAACUCUGCUCAGUGUUGCAAGAGAGAGAGAGAGAGAGAGAAGGAGAGACAGAAGUAGAAUAAAUGGAUUGCAUUGACAUGCAAUAUAGGAUUUAUGGAAAAGGCGACCAUUCACUCAUCUUCAUUACAUCUAAGGGGAUGAUUGUGAAAUAACACACAAUAUUAUAACCGGCGCAAAGACGGGGCAGGAACAAAAUCCUUCUGUGACACUUGGGCGUCAGGAUUCGUCACACCUCUUAGCCCACAAAAAGUGACACACAGAGUAAAAACAUCCUCCCAAGGUUUCUUUGUCAGCUAUAUUAUAAAAGUGAGGAGGGAAAAUGACACACCACGCGAGCCACUGCCAGCUAUUUCCUGUUGAUGAGAUGUUUCAUGCUUCUUUAAGCACAGAUUGCAAAAUAAGAGUCACGUCUCGUCCUCCAGUGCUGAGGGAAAUGAUUGUGGCCUUGCAGGCAAAGCCGCCUCGGAGUAUGGAAUGAAUGUGCCAGUGAAGCAUGCCACAUUAAGAUGCUAUGGACCAGGGCGCGCACUUAUUCUGCUGCUGAUAAUGCCCUUUGGUGUAGUGGAGUCACAAGGAACUUAACACAGUGACAGCACACCAUGACAGGCGGUUCAAACGCUGAUAAGAUGAUAAAUUUACCCCCAAGGAGAGAGGAUCACCAACCUUGGAAUCCUAUUUUUAGAGCUCUUCUUUGCCUCGGCUUAAUUUUUUAAUAACAAUCACUAAUGUGACGAGAAGCGUCGACAGCCUUUGGCCUUGGACAUCAUCAAAUAAAAUUAUAAAAGUAUCAAACUAAUAAUGCUCAUAAAUGCAUGCAUAGUUCACCAGUGGAUAAGGAUGGCUCGCUAACGGUGCGGUGAGGCUUUUCAGAAAAUUAUUUAACAGCGGUAAGUCCAGGUCAUUUGUUUUUAAAUUGGUUUAUAUUGAUUGAUGAAAUCCCAUCAGACUUCACUCCAGGAGCCCCGGUGAGACCUUUUACUGAGUUCUGACAAACAGCUCCAAAUCCCAGGAUGGGGUAAGAGCUCAUUUAUAAUUCAAAAGUGAUCAAACGCUUGAAACGUGCCCGAAUCCAACAACAAAGUCCGGUUAAAGACCAGAAAAUUAUCAGUUACUACCACUUUACAGCUGCAGGUAGAAGUGAACAAGAGAAAGAGAAAGGGAAAGGGUCAAAGAGGAGGAAAGCCGGUAAUAAAAAUAAUGGUGUAAAGUGUGAAGACCCACCCCAAUGAAAAUCAUGUUUUCUUGUUGUCUACGUGUUCAUAUGGCGUUUUUCUGAAGUGACAGGACUCCCUAUCUCUCUGUGUAUUUCUCCCCAACUCGGCAGUGGCAGAUAGCUGUCAACAUGAGUCUGGUCCUUCCCAAGGUUUCUGCCUGUUUUUCUUUGCCACUGUCACUCAUGUUAGGAGCGUGGUCUCGACCUGCUCCUUUUUGGAAAGCGUCUUGAGAUAACGACUGUUGUGAUUUGGCGCUAUAUAAACAAAACUUGAUUGAUAGAUCAGAAGAAAAGUAAGUGCAAAACUGCAUUUCUGAGUAUUUCUGUAUUCAAAUCUUUGUGAACCUCUGGCAGACCCAAACAGCAGCUUCAGAUAUAGUGAGAUUUCUUAUGUAGCAAAUCCAAGCUCCGCCCCCAGAGCCCACUAUGCAGGCCAGACUCGGAGAAGUAGAGAGGACGAUCGCGGGACAAGCGUGUGCGUUAGUGGAUUACAAUGCUCGUAAGAAAGCUAAUUAUGAUACUAACUGUCCUCAUGUCCCCAAAGACAUUAGUGUCUGAGAGUUGAAUAGCUUCUAUGUUACCUGCCACUUCUACAACACUGACAAUGUUAGGCUACAAGCUAACAUGAAGAGAAGUGUGCAGAGCAGCGCUGUCUCCGCCCACGACUCAGAGUCGAAUUGCUAAUGAGCUACUGAAGCUCUGCAGAAGAAAAACACUUAAAAAUGACACAGGUAAUGUGAUUUUAGCUAAAAACUUCAAAAAAAAAAAAAAGGUCGGAGUGGGACUUUAAACUUAAAAAGAGAAGAUGCUAAAUUGAUCAAACACACAGCAACAUUAAGAGCUAUUAGCUGAAUAGGCUUUCAUUCUUUUUCAACAAACUACUUUUAGUCAUCUAAUUGAAACAGGGUGAAAAAUCACACAAGUCUCUGGUCUGAAAGCCUUCCUCAUUCAAAGGUCUCAGUGUAUUUAUAAACCUAAUUCAAAACCAGACAUAAAUCAACCAUGACGUUUGCGUCACAUCAAGGAAUGACUGACUCAUCCGCCCUUUUGUUGCCAGUUUUAUCUAAACUUUACUUGCACUAAAACUUCUUAUAAAUUCGACUGACACUGGCUGUCUGGCUCCUUCCUAAUUUACUUUUCAAUUACCAGCGAGGGAAAAAGCCUCUUGGCUCUAAAGAGAAAACUCUGGUGUGAUGUUCCCUUUGAGAUUCAUUUAGCAAAGGUUCAACCACCGCUAACAUUGUCAGACACGCUGGUCAGUUGUUGUUGUUGAAGUGCCGCUGAUUAAAACCACAAAAGGGAGCAUAAAUCCUGCACACCGGUACCUGCUCUUCCGUCUCACUUUUCCCAGACUGUAUGUCCUUGUUUUUGAAGGAUAAAAAUAACAUAUCAGGCAGCUCCUUUGUUGUGACUCUUCUGGGGAACCAAACAAGCUUUAUUUUUUGUGAUGACUAAGAUGUAGCUGAAGCCGGAGCUCUGCACCUUCAGCUUCACAACUUUUUGAAAUUUAUUUUUGGUUUUGUUGCCUUUUUCUCUUCCGUUCAUACUUCUCCCCUAACAACUUGGGAUUUGGGAGACUUUCGGAGGUACUUUUUGCAAUGAAAACAGUUUUAUCUUGGGUGUAAACAUAGACUAGGAUGACCAUAUUCUGACUUCCCAAAAAGAAGGACACGACUCUCGUACAAAGUUAAUUUUGAGGAGGAGGCAGACAGCGUCCAUUCUAUAUACAGUCUACGGUUGUACACAACGCAAAUACAUCAGAUAAAUUAUCAUAUUUAGUUUUUGAAUCAAUAAUAAAAAACUAAAGACUGAGAUAGUUUCUACUGUACAUUUGACCAAAAUUCAUCUUUUCCCUCCUGCUUAUCAUGGAAGAGGCGUUUUCAUUUUGUUUGUUUGUUGACCUCCACUUUCUGUGAGACACGGGGGACGUUGUGUGUGUAUGUGUGUGUGAGGCAACAGCGGGAUAAAGUCGAAACAACAUCGUUCAUGUCGAUACUCUCCCCUGUGUAUUGGCCACAGACAAUGAAAGGGUCGCAUGGAGGGAGGGAAAAAGAGGGAGAGAGAACGGGGGAUGGUGGACGGAGCUGUCUGUUUUGGAGCAUUCAGGUCUCUGUGCUAUUUGAUGAAGAUGAAGUGAAGUGUUAAAAAUCAAUAACCUGCUCGAUACAUCCUCAGAAUGCUUUGACCACGGGGUCCCCAACCGCAGGACUCAUUUGAGAUGCGGGUUGAAUAUAUCGAGACCUUCAAAGGCGUCGGUCAAUUUCAGUGCUGCUCUGGCAACAGCCACCGAGAUGACUGAUAAAGCAGGGACAGACCUGAUCUUAAAGGUAGAGUGAAGAAAAUACAACUGUGAUUGAAUUAAUACAACUGAGGAUUUACACAUAAAAUGGCAUCUAUACAUUUAAGCUCUAUAUCGCUGUUUCUCCAAAGGUAUGACCCAAAUGUGUUAAAAUGAAAAUCCGUUUUCACUCAAAUCUGGACUCAGAUCAGGAUUUACAUGUACAAAUUAGGACCAAAUGUUAAAAUUCAACCAAUCCUUAAAGGUAUGGCCCCUUGAUUGUGCCGAUUGUUCCUGGUGAGUCUAAGUCCUGCUGUUGAUCAUGAAUGCAGAGCCUUUUGGUGCCAGAAGAGCCAGGACUUGCUGAGCCAGAUGACCUGGGUCACUCAAAAGAGACUGAGUUCUCAUCCCUGUAGCAGCAGGAAUUCUGAGGUUGUUAACGUCAGAAAGAAGGACGAUCCAAGACCCUGGUCCUACAUGGAUGAACAAGAUGGGGGUCUUGGGGACUGUUUUUGUUUCAGCAGGUGGGAGCAGAUGGUCAGACUUUAUUUUGAAAGGCUAAGUAUCAACUUCCGACAUAAAAAAAUAAAUAAAAAUAAAACGUACCCUAAUAUAUUUGCUUUUAUUUCGGAAGGUGUCAAAUCAACUUCCAAUCCACUCAGUGGAGGUUUUCUACCAAAGGUCCUGUCUUGUUGUUAUUGGACAAAGUGAUAUCUACUUUUAUCUACUUGGACAAAAAUCUCAUCAUUGUUAGUAUUUGCUGUGUAAAAAGUCAAAAAGACAUUUUUUGACCUGAACCAGCUUCCGUCUGUUUAUCAAACAGUGGAAAACUCCUCACAGUGUUUCUAAGUUCACUCACAGCAGUGCCGCAGUGCUGAAGAGUAAAAAAAGAGCGUGCACUGGUACUAAUCGAGUUAGAUCUAGAUCAAACAUUUUAACUUUAACUUAAAAGAUUAGUCGCUCAGUAACAUUUUUAUUUUUAUCCGGGCCGGAUUAGCUACACUUCAUAUAUGCUUUUUUUCUGCUCACACUAAAAGCUUGUACAAAAUUCAGACAUGCCAAAAAAGGAAAUCAGAAGACUCCUCAGGCUGAAAAUCCAGACUCUACAUUUUUGUGUAGAAUCUGUCAACCAAAUAUGUUAAAGAAAUAAAGCAGUGAUUGUAAUAUUUUUAAAACAGAAGGUCAAAAUAAUUUCUCACAAACCGUGCAGCUGUCUUUUUGACAGGCAGGAUAUACGGCAGGAAAAUGUAUUUAUAUAUAUUGCACCAGAUCAGAGAUAAAGCAUCAUCACAGAACUACCGGGCCACGGUCAAAUGAAUAUUGAUCUAAAUAGAGAGGACAAGAUUUAAGCCCAUAAUGGCCUUAUGUUAUCAUCAAGCUUAGAUACACUCUGGAGACUUCUCUGAUGUUGUAUGAAUGUAAAUGUCAAGCAUGUGUGAGCCAAUCGAGUGUUUUAUACAUUUUAAAAGUGAUGAAAUGGAGGACCGACGCCAACAUGUAGCGUCUGCUUCAGAGGAAUAAAAGUCCCGGGACAUUUGAAGAGGUCUGCUGAGAAUCAGCUGCAUGGAAAAUUAGACCAUAUCUUUAUAUACAAGUGUAUCUGAUGGAUGAUAAUUUUAAUUGGUUACAGUUGGC